rfam:Chaetura pelagica isolate M959 contig47811, whole genome shotgun sequence.
CAAAUGGCUGCUUUUGUAGCCACAAACACUUUAUUUUCAGGUGUUU